UCAACAUGAGAGUUUGAUCCUGGCUCAGAACGAACGCUGGCGGCAGGCUUAACACAUGCAAGUCGAGCGCCCCGCAAGGGGAGCGGCAGACGGGUGAGUAACGCG
rnacentral:rRNA from 1 species